rnacentral:rRNA from 1 species
GACGAACGCUGGCGGCGUGCUUAACACAUGCAAGUCGAACGGAAAGGCCCUGCUUUUGUGGGGUGCUCGAGUGGCGAACGGGUGAGUAACACGUGAGUAACCUGCCCUUGACUUUGGGAUAACUUCAGGAAACUGGGGCUAAUACCGGAUAGGAGCUCCUGCUGCAUGGUGGGGGUUGGAAAGUUUCGGCGGUUGGGGAUGGACUCGCGGCUUAUCAGCUUGUUGGUGGGGUAGUGGCUUACCAAGGCUUUGACGGGUAGCCGGCCUGAGAGGGUGACCGGCCACAUUGGGACUGCGGGACGGCCCAGACUGCUACGGGAGGCAGCAGUGGCGAACCUUGCACACUGGGCGGAAGCCUGAUGCAGCACCGCCGCGUGCGGGAUGACGGCCUUCGGGUUGUAAACCGCUUUCGCCUGUGACGAAGCGUGAGUGACGGUAAUGGGUAAAGAAGCACCGGCUAACUACGUG